UCUGCAGAAACUAGGACAUUGCUCCCUCAGUGUGCUAUCUGCAAGAGCGCUUCUGAAUCUUACUUAUUACUCAUGUGUUGAUCUCAAUGGACAUUUCAUUUUGCAGCAGACUACCUUAAAACAGAUGAACUAAAACAUCUGGCACUUGUAAUACAUCAGAGGCCUGAAGUUCAAGUUAUGUUAUAUUGGAAGGUCUUCUCUGAACUGUCUACU